UACGUAGGUGGCAAGCGUUGUCCGGAAUUACUGGGUGUAAAGGGCGUGUAGGCGGGAAUGUAAGUCAGAUGUGAAAUCCCAGGGCUUAACCCUGGAGCUGCAUCUGAAACUAUGUUUCUUGAGUGUCGGAGAGGAAAGCGGAAUUCCUAGUGUAGCGGUGAAAUGCGUAGAUAUUAGGAGGAACACCAGUGGCGAAGGCGGCUUUCUGGACGAUAACUGACGCUGAGGCGCGAAAGCGUGGGGAGCAAACAGG
rnacentral:rRNA from 2 species